AUUCCAGCUCCAUUAGCGUAUAUUAACGUUGUUGCAGUUAAAAAGCUCGUAGUUGGAUUUGUGGUUUGUUGCAUGGUCCCAAUAUUAUGUUGGGUGCUGUUGCGAGGAGCCAUCCUUGGGUGGAAUCUGUGUGGCAUUAGGUUGUCGCGCAGGGGAUGCCCAUCGUUUACUGUGAAAAAAUUAGAGUGUUCAAAGCAGGCUUAUGCCGUUGAAUAUAUUAGCAUGGAAUAAUGAGAUAGGACCUUGGUACUAUUUUGUUGGUUUGCGCACCGAGGUAAUGAUUAAUAGGGACAGUUGGGGGUAUUCGUAUUCCAUUGUCAGAGGUGAAAUUCUUGGAUUUCUGGAAGACGAACUACUGCGAAAGCAUUUACCAAGGAUGUUUUC
rnacentral:rRNA from 1 species